AGUCUCCGGCGCGACGUCCCACAAGGCGGCAGCACGCAGCAGCAGCAGCAGCAGCAGGUGGCGCGCCAACCGAUUGUUGUGAGCGCUCGGAGUCGCAGUUUACUAGUCUCAAGGGGUGAGAGUGCGCCAUGAAGCCUAUAACCAGACACUGGGAGAGCAGUCUCUUUCACAAGAUCACCAUUUCAAACUUCCUCUCCCUGCUUAUGUCUUGAGGUAGUGUACAGAAGUGACAGCAAAAUCCUGACUGCCAUGGAGAUAAAAUCCUGGUUUGUCAUUUGGUUGUAUAUCCUGUCCCUGAUUGCACAAAAAGCCUUGUGUGACAACCAACUUCUCCAGAAGGUACAGGAAAUCAAAGGGUGCACCCGUGGUUCUUGCAAAGGCAAAUUUCCAGUAAGCAGUGACUCUCCAAAUAUGAUGAAUAAUCGAACGUUUUCUGCUGCUCGUUGCUUUUGUGAUGACGAGUGCCACUUGUAUCGUGAUUGCUGCCCUGACAA